UACGUAGGGGGCGAGCGUUGUCCGAAGUUACUGGGCGUAAAGCGCGCGUAGGCGGACUCUUAAGUGAGGGGUGAAAGGUUCAGGGCUCAACCCGAACACUGCCUUUCAUACUGGGAGUCUUGAGUACGGGAGAGGCGAGUGGAAUGGUCGGUGUAGCGGUGAAAUGCGUAGAUAUCGAUCGGAACACCCAUGGCGAAGGCAGCUCGCUGGCCUGUAACUGACGCUGAGGUGCGAAAGCGUGGGGAGCAAACAGG
rnacentral:rRNA from 1 species